UUCAAACAUAGCAGAGUUAUCAGCUAUAGACAUAAACAUUACACAUGGUCUGAUAUGUUACAGAUAUGCCUAUGUCUUCUACCGUGUCUACCGCUGCCAGAACUAUGAGGAACGGCCAGACACUACAGACUGUCUACCGCCAGGUGGUUGGACAGAAUGCCACUGACGGAUGUCCCAAACUGUUCAAACAUAGCAGAGUUAUCAGCUAUAGACAUAAACAUUACACAUGGUCUGAUAUGUUACAGAUAUGCCUAUGUCUUCUACCGUGUCUACCGCUGCCAGAACUAUGAGGAACGGCCAGACACUACAGACUGUCUACCGCCAGGUGGUUGGACAGAAUGUCACUGACGGAUGUCCCAAACUGUUCAAACACAGCAGAGUUAUCAGCUAUAGACAUAAACAUUACACAUGGUCUGAUAUGUUACAGAUAUGCCUAUGUCUUCUACCGUGUCUACCGCUGCCAGAACUAUGAGGAAUGGCCAGACACUACAGACUGUCUACCGCCAGGUGGUUGGACAGAAUGCCACUGACGGAUGUCCCAAACUGUUCAAACAUAGCAGAGUUAUCAGUUAUAGACAUAAACAUUACACAUGGUCUGAUAUGUUACAGAUAUGCCUAUGUCUUCUACCGUGUCUACCGCUGCCAGAACUAUGAGGAACGGCCAGACACUACAGACUGUCUACCGCCAGGUGGUUGGACAGAAUGCCACUGACGGAUGUCCCAAACUGUUCAAACAUGGCAGAGUCAUCAGCUACGGACCUGACAGACCUCUGGCCCGAUACACGUCCAAGUAUUACAGACCUGUCGCUGAGGACAGUGACCAAUGAGAUGUAUCUUGGUGAUCUGCGCCCGCAUCGACUGACUGUGAUAUUUCAUGUUAAUAUUUGUAAAAAGCUUGUUACUUAAGGUAUUUUUUAUUCUAGGAAAUUGUUAAUAUAUUGUAUUAGGCUGAUAAA